GGACCAUCAUGUCGGUCGUGCCUCGGUACGUACUGGUAUUGUUGGUUUCUCCCUUCUGAUGAAUCGCGAUGUCAUUAAUUUGGUGUCGUGGGGAAUCAGGACUGUUACUUUGAAAAAAUUAGAGUGUUUAAAGCAGGCUAACGCCUGAAUACAUUAGCAUGGAAUAAUGAAAUAGGACGUUCGAUCCUAUUUUGUUGGUUUCUAGGAUUGACGUA
rnacentral:rRNA from 1 species